UACGUAGGGUGCGAGCGUUGUCCGGAAUUAUUGGGCGUAAAGGGCUCGUAGGCGGUUUGUCGCGUCGGGAGUGAAAACCUUGGGCUUAACUCAGGGCUUGCUUUCGAUACGGGCAGACUAGAGGUAUGCAGGGGAGAACGGAAUUCCUGGUGUAGCGGUGAAAUGCGCAGAUAUCAGGAGGAACACCAAUGGCGAAAGCAGGUAACUGGACCAUUACUGACACUCAGCUGCGAAAGCUAGGGGAGCAAACAGG
rnacentral:rRNA from 1 species